rnacentral:rRNA from 1 species
AGUGAACGCUGGCGGUGUGGUUAAGAUAUACAAGUCGAGCGGGAUUUAUUUUCAUAAUUCUUCAAAAAAAGUGAGAGUGAUGAGAGCAGCAAACGGGUUCAUAAUACGUGAACAACUUGCCCUUUAGUUUGGGAUAGCUCACUGAAAGGCGAAUUAAUACCGAAUGUGGUUUCGUUCUUCAUGGAACGGAUACUAAAGAUUGUAAUGGCGCUCUAGGAGAGGUUCACGCCCUAUCUGCUUGUUGGCGAGGUAAUGGCUCACCAAGGCGAAGACAGGUAGCUGGUCUGAGAGGAUGAUCAGCCACACUUGAACCGAGACACGGUCCAGACACCUCCGGGUGGCAGCAGUUUCGAAUCAUUCACAAUGGGCGAAAGCCGCGGUCAUACGGAGACUGCAAGGGUUACUCGGAAUUACUGGGCGUAAAGGGUGCGUAGGCGGCUAGGUGUGUCAGAUGUGAAAUCUCGAAGCUUAACUUCGGGAUUGCGUUUGAAACUGCAUGGCUAGAGUUUUGGAGAGGCAGGCGGAAUUUCUGGUGUAGCGGUGGAAUGCGAAAUAUAUCAGAAGGAACACCAAUGGCGAAGGCAGCUUGCUGGAAAAAUACUGACGCUCAUGAAGGAAAGCGUGGGGAGCUAAAAGAAUGAGAUACCCUUGUAGUCCACGCCGUAAACUUUGUACACUCGAUUUUGGGACAUUCGACCGUUUCAGAGUCGUAGCUAACGCGAUAAGUGUACCGCCUGAGGACUACCGUCGCAAGACUAAAACUCAAAGGAAUUGACGGCGCCCGCACAAGCAGUGGAGCAUGUGGCUUAAUUCGAUGCUACGCGAUAGACCUUACCUAAGCUUGACAUACACUGGACAGUUUGCGAAAGCAAAUCUUCCUUCGGGACCGGUGAACAGGUGCUGCAUCGCUGUCGUCAGCUACGGCGCCGUGAAUACGUUCUCGGGCCUUGUACACACCGCCCAUCACGUCCUGAAAGCCGGUUUUACCCGAAGCGCAUGAGCUAACCUUCACAGGGGCAGUGUUCUAAGGUGGAGUUGGUUAUUGG